rnacentral:rRNA from 1 species
CGCAUCUGUGCAUGCAGCAUAUCAAUAAGCGGAGGAAAAGAAACUAACAAGGAUUCCCCUAGUAACGGCGAGUGAAGCGGGAAGAGCUCAAAUUUGAAAUCUUAAAGGGUUUCCCUUUACGAAUUGUAGUUUAAAGAAGUGUUUUCUGUUGAGGUUUUGGUAAAAGUUCUUUGGAAUAGGACAUCAUAGAGGGUGAGAAUCCCGUAUUUGACCUUUACUUUCAACUUUGUGAUACACUUUCAAAGAGUCGGAUUGUUUGGGAAUGCAGUCCAAAAUGGGUGGUAAAUUUCAUCUAAAGCUAAAUAGUUGGCGAGAGACCGAUAGCGAACAAGUACCGUGAGGGAAAGAUGAAAAGAACUUUGAAAAGAGAGUUGAAACAGUACGUGAAAUUGUCAAAAGGGAAGCGUUUGACACCAGUGUUGUUUUUCUGAAAAUCAAUUAAAGAACUGUUUAUGCUAAGUUGUUUAGACUUUAUCAGCUAACUGUUUAGUUUUGAGCUUUCUUUAAUGCACUUUUCAGUUAACAAGUCAACAUCAAUUUCUUUUGCUGUAAAAAAGCUUGAGGAAGGUGGCUUGAGAUUCGUCUUAAGUGUUUAUAGCCUCUUGCCUAUGCAGUCGGAGAGAUUGAGGUCUGCAGCGUAGAUCCUUCGGGGCUAAAUGCAUUUGUGCUAAGUUAUAACAUUUUAUAGGACAACUUGUUGACUAUGAUUUGUCUUGUAGCUUACUCGCUUAUGUUAUUUUACCUACGCUUAGGAUGUUGACAGCAGUAUAGACUGU